rnacentral:rRNA from 1 species
AUCCUGGCUCAGAACGAACGCUGGUGGCGUGUUUUAUACAUGCAAGUCGAGCGAGGCCAAGUAGCAAUACUUGAGUCGAGCGGCGAACGGGUGAGUAACACGUGAGUAACCUGCCCUAUAAUCGGGGACAACCUUUCCAACGGAAGGCUAAUACCGGAUAUUGUAUUCUACCGCAUGGUAGGAUAACCAAAGGCUAUAUGCCGUUAUAGGAUGGACUCGCGCCUGAUUAGCUUGUUGGUGAGGUAAUGGCUCACCAAGGCGAUGAUCAGUAGCCGGCCUGAGAGGGUGAUCGGCCACAUUGGGACUGAGAUACGGCCCAGACUCCUACGGGAGGCAGCAGUAGGGAAUCCUGCGCAAUGGGGAAACCCUGACGCAGCAACGCCACGUGUGGGAUGACGCAUUUCGGUGUGUAAACCACUGUCGACAGGGAAUAAUGAUAGGCUAUAUGCUUAUUUGAAUGUACCUGUAAAGGAAGCACCGGCAAACUUCGUG